AGAGUUUGAUCCUGGCUCAGGAUGAACGCUGGCGGCGUGCCUAACACAUGCAAGUCGAGCGAUCUCUUCGGAGAGAGCGGCGGACGGGUGAGUAACGCGUGGGUAACCUGCCCUGUACACACGGAUAACAUACCGAAAGGUAUACUAAUACGGGAUAACAUACGAAAGUCGCAUGGCUUUUGUAUCAAAGCUCCGGCGGUACAGGAUGGACCCGCGUCUGAUUAGCUAGUUGGUAAGGUAAUGGCUUACCAAGGCAACGAUCAGUAGCCGACCUGAGAGGGUGAUCGGCCACACUGGAACUGAGACACGGUCCAGACUCCUACGGGAGGCAGCAGUGGGGAAUAUUGCACAAUGGGCGAAAGCCUGAUGCAGCAACGCCGCGUGAGCGAUGAAGGCCUUCGGGUCGUAAAGCUCUGUCCUCAAGGAAGAUAAUGACGGUACUUGAGGAGGAAGCCCCGGCUAACUACGUGCCAGCAGCCGCGGUAAUACGUAGGGGGCUAGCGUUAUCCGGAAUUACUGGGCGUAAAGGGUGCGUAGGUGGUUUUUUAAGUCAGAAGUGAAAGGCUACGGCUCAACCGUAGUAAGCUUUUGAAACUAGAGAACUUGAGUGCAGGAGAGGAGAGUAGAAUUCCUAGUGUAGCGGUGAAAGCGUAGAUAUUAGGAGGAAUACCAGUAGCGAAGGCGGCUCUCUGGACUGUAACUGACACUGAGGCACGAAAGCGUGGGGAGCAAACAGGAUUAGAUACCCUGGUAGUUCACGCCGUAAACGAUGAGUACUAGGUGUCGGGGGUUACCCCCCUCGGUGCCGCAGCUAACGCAUUAAGUACUCCGCCUGGGAAGUACGCUCGCAAGAGUGAAACUCAAAGGAAUUGACGGGGACCCGCACAAGUAGCGGAGCAUGUGGUUUAAUUAGAAGCAACGAGAAGAACCUUACCUAAGCUUGACAUCCCACUGACCUCUCCCUAAUCGGAGAUUUCCCUUCGGGGACAGUGGUGACAGGUGGUGCAUGGUUGUCGUCAGCUCGUGUCGUGAGAUGUUGGGUUAAGUCCCGCAACGAGCGCAACCCUUGCCUUUAGUUGCCAGCAUUAAGUUGGGCACUUUAGAGGGACUGCCGAGGAUAACUCGGAGGAAGGUGGGGAUGACGUCAAAUCAUCAUGCCCCUUAUGCUUAGGGCUACACACGUGGUACAAUGGGUGGUACAGAGGGUUGCCAAGCCGCGAGGUGGAGCUAAUCCCUUAAAGCCAUUUUCAGUUCGGAUUGUAGGCUGAAACUCGCCUACAUGAAGCUGGAGUUACUAGUAAUCGCAGAUCAGAAUGCUGCGGGGAAUGCGUUCCCGGGUCUUGUACACCCCGCCCGUCACACCAUGGAAGUUGGGGGCCCCCGAAGCCGGUUAGGUAACCUUUUAGGAAGCCGCCGUCGAAGGGAAACCC
rnacentral:rRNA from 1 species